UACGAAGGGUGCAAGCGUUACUCGGAAUUACUGGGCGUAAAGCGUCUGUAGGUGGUCAAAUAAGUCAACUGUUAAAUCUUGAGGCUCAACCUCAAAAUCGCAGUCGAAACUAUUAGACUAGAGUAUAGUAGGGGUAAAGGGAAUUUCCAGUGGAGCGGUGAAAUGCGUAGAUAUUGGAAAGAACACCGAUGGCGAAGGCACUUUACUGGGCUAUUACUAACACUCAGAGACGAAAGCUAGGGUAGCAAAUGGG
rnacentral:rRNA from 1 species